rnacentral:rRNA from 1 species
AUUGAACGCUGGCGGCAGGCUUAACACAUGCAAGUCGAGCGGAGAGAGGUAGCUUGCUACUGAUCUUAGCGGCGGACGGGUGAGUAAUGCUUAGGAAUCUGCCUCUUAGUGGGGGACAACAUUUCGAAAGGAAUGCUAAUACCGCAUACGUCCUACGGGAGAAAGCAGGGGAUCUUCGGACCUUGCGCUAAUAGAUGAGCCUAAGUCGGAUUAGCUAGUUGGUGGGGUAAAGGCCUACCAAGGCGACGAUCUGCAGCGGGUCUGAGAGGAUGAUCCGCCACACUGGGACUGAGACACGGCCCAGACUCCUACGGGAGGCAGCAGUGGGGAAUAUUGGACAAUGGGCGCAAGCCUGAUCCAGCCAGGCCGGGUGUGUGAAGAAGGCCUUAUGGUUGUAAAGCACUUUAAGCGAGGAGGAGGCUACUUUAGUUAAUACCUAGAGAUAGUGGACGUUACUCGCAGAAUAAGCACCGGCUAACUCUGUGCCAGCCGCCGCAGUAAUAC